GAUUAAGCCAUGCAUGUGUAAGUAUAAAUAAUUUUACUUUGAAACUGCGAAUGGCUCAUUAUAUCAGUUAUAGUUUAUUAGAAAUACUUUACUACUUGGAUAACCGUAGUAAUUCUAGGGCUAAUACAUGAGUAAAACCUCAACUUCGGAAGAGGUGUGUUUAUUAGUAUGAAAACCAUAUAUCUUCGGAUAUAAUAGUGAGUAAUAAUAACCUUUCAUAUCGUAUGUCGUAAGAUAACGAUAGUUCUUUCAAGUUUCUGCCCUAUCAGCUUUCGAUGGUAGUAUAUGGGACUACCAUG
rnacentral:rRNA from 1 species